rnacentral:rRNA from 1 species
UAGGGAAUCUUCCGCAAUGGACGAAAGUCUGACGGAGCAACGCCGCGUGAGUGAAGAAGGAUUUCGGUUCGUAAAACUCUGUUGUUAGGGAAGAAAAAAUGUAUAGUAACUAUAUACAAAAGAGACGGUACCUAACCAGAAAGCCACGGCUAACUACGUACCAGCAGCCGCGGUAAUACGUAGGUGGCAAGCGUUGUCCGGAAUUAUUGGGCGUAAAGCGCGCGCAGGUGGUUUAGAAAGUCUGAUGUGAAAGCCCACGGCUCAACCGUGGAGGGUCAUUGGAAACUAAUAAACUUGAGUGCAGGAGAGAAAAGUGGAAUUCCUAGUGUAGCGGUGAAAUGCGUAGAGAUUAGGAGGAAAACCGGUGGCGAAAGCGGCUUUUUGGCCUGCAACUGACACUGAGGCGCGAAAGCGUGGGGAGCAAACAGG